UGUAUAUUUACAGUGAGUGGGAAA
rnacentral:misc_RNA from 1 species